UACGUAGGGUGCGAGCGUUAAUCGGAAUUACUGGGCGUAAAGCGUGCGCAGGCGGUUUUGUAAGCCAGAUGUGAAAUCCCCGGGCUUAACCUGGGAAUGGCAUUUGGGACUGCAAGGCUGGAGUACGGCAGAGGAGACUGGAAUUCCUGGUGUAGCAGUGAAAUGCGUAGAGAUCAGGAGGAAUACCGAUGGCGAAGGCAGGUCUCUGGGCUGAUACUGACACUGAGAAGCGAAAGCAUGGGGAGCGAACAGG
rnacentral:rRNA from 1 species